UCACAUGUAGUGCCGGGGCAACUAAAACUCUGAGUUUUCUCAGCUUUAGAGUUUUGUUACCCCGGCUCUCUGUGGG
rfam:Branchiostoma floridae genomic scaffold BRAFLscaffold_258, whole genome shotgun sequence.